rnacentral:piRNA from 1 species
UGUCAGUUGCAAGGAUAACGUGUUGACCUCU